rnacentral:rRNA from 1 species
AUUGAACGCUGGCGGCAUGCUUUACACAUGCAAGUCGAACGGUAACAGCACUUCGGUGGCUGACGAGUGGCGAACGGGUGAGUAAUAUAUCGGAACGUUCCUAGCAGUGGGGGGAAACUACUCGUAAGAGUAGCUAUUAUCGCAUGAGAGCUAAGGAUGAUAGUAGGGGCCCUUUGGGCUUUGCGCGACUAGUGCGGCUCAUGGCAGAUUAGGUAGUUGGUGGGCUAAAAGCUUACCGAGGCGACGAUCGGUAGCUGGUAGGAGAGGACGACCAGCCAGACUGGGACUGGGACACGGCCCAGGCUCCUACGGGAGGCAGCAGUGGGGAAUUUGGGGCAAUGGGCGCAAGCCUGAUCCAGCAAUGCCGCGUGCAGGAUGAAGGCCUUCGGGUUGUAAAAUGCUGUUGUACGGAAUGAAAAGCCCUCUCAUAAUACAGGAGAGUCAUGACGGUACCGAAAGAAUAAGCACCGGCUAACUACGUG